rnacentral:lncRNA from 1 species
GGGUGUGUGGAUGGGUGGAUGAAUGGGUACAUGAAUGGAUGAAUGGUUGUGUGGGUGGUUAGAUGAGUGGGUGGAUGGGUGGGUGAAUGAGAGCAUGGAUGGGUGGGUGGGUAUGUGGAUGGACUAAUGUGGAUGGACUAAUGGUUGCAUGGAAAGCUGGUCGGGGACAUGGAUGAAUAGAUGGGUGGAUGGUGAGUAGGAGGGUAAAUGGAUGGGUGGUUGUAGGCAUACAUUUUUUGCAACCUACUUUUUAAAAAAUGUAUGUGAGUAUACUGUUACUUUCUUCAGAAGAGGGUAUCAGAUCCCAUGACAGAUGGUUGUCAGCCACCACAUAGUUGCUGGGAAUUGAACUCAGGAAGCACAGUCAGUGCUCUUAGCCACUG